rnacentral:misc_RNA from 1 species
GGUGAAGAACGCAGCGAAAUGCGAUACGUAAUGUGAAUUGCAGAAUUCAGUGAAUCAUCGAAUCUUUGAACGCAUAUUGCGCUCUCUGGUAUUCCGGAGAGCAUGCUUGUUUGAGUAUCAGUAAACACCUCAACUCCCUUUUCUUUUUUGAAAUGGGAGCUGGACUUGAGUGAUCCCAACACUUUUCUCACUGGAAAGUGGCGGGUCACUUGAAAUGCAGGUGCAGCUGGACUUUUCUCUGAGCUAUAAGCAUAUCUAUUUAGUCUGCCUAAAAAACAGAUUAUUACCUUUGCUGCAGCUAACAUAAAGGAGAUGAGUUCUUGUGCUGACUGAUGCAGGAUUCACAGAGACAGCUUUGCGGCUGACUUUGUAAACUCGAUCUCAAAUCAAGUAAGACUACCCGCUGAACUUAAGCAUAUCAAUAAGCGGAGGA